rnacentral:rRNA from 1 species
AUACGGAGGGUGCAAGCGUUACUCGGAAUCACUGGGCGUAAAGGACGCGUAGGCGGGUUGGUAAGUCAGGCGUGAAAUCCUACAGCUUAACUGUAGAACUGCACUUGAAACUACCAACCUAGAGUAUGGGAGGGGGAGAUGGAAUUAGUGGUGUAGGGGUAAAAUCCGUAGAUAUCACUAGGAAUACCGAAAGCGAAGGCGAUCUCCUGGAACAUAACUGACGCUAAGGCGUGAAAGCGUGGGGAGCAAACAGGAUUAGAAACCCCAGUAGUCC